AUACGGAGGGUGCAAGCGUUACUCGGAAUCACUGGGCGUAAAGCGCGCGCAGGCGGGCUGAUAAGUUGGAUGUGAAAGCCUACGGCUCAACCGUAGAACUGCAUCCAAAACUGUCAGUCUAGAGUGUGGGAGAGGAAGAUGGAAUUAGUUGUGUAGAAGUAAAAUCCGUAGAGAUAACUAGGAAUACCAAAAGCGAAGGCAAUCUUCUGGAACACUACUGACGCUGAGGUGCGAAGGCGUGGGGAGCAAACAGGAUUAGAAACCCGAGUAGUCC
rnacentral:rRNA from 1 species